AUUGAACGCUGGCGGCAUGCCUUACACAUGCAAGUCGAACGGCAGCACGGGUGCUUGCACCUGGUGGCGAGUGGCGAACGGGUGAGUAAUACAUCGGAACAUGUCCUGUAGUGGGGGAUAGCCCGGCGAAAGCCGGAUUAAUACCGCAUACGAUCUACGGAUGAAAGCGGGGGACCUUCGGGCCUCGCGCUAUAGGGUUGGCCGAUGGCUGAUUAGCUAGUUGGGGGGGUAAAGGCCUACCAAGGCGACGAUCAGUAGCUGGUCUGAGAGGACGACCAGCCACACUGGGACUGAGCCACGGCCCAGACUCCUACGGGAGGCAGCAGUGGGGAAUUUUGGACAAUGGGCGAAAGCCUGAUCCAGCAAUGCCGCGUGUGUGAAGAAGGCCUUCGGGUUGUAAAGCACUUUUGUCCGGAAAGAAAUCCUUGGCCCUAAUACGGUCGGGGGAUGACGGUACCGGAAGAAUAAGCACCGGCUAACUACGUG
rnacentral:rRNA from 1 species